rnacentral:rRNA from 1 species
GCCACACAGGAGACGAUCGUUUGAAGCGUUGAACUGAUGAGCAUGCGCUCACACCCUGGCUUCUCACUUUAAGCAAGUUAGAGGAGACGAAAAGGAAGCAGACACACCCCUGUCAAGUAGAGUAGGAAAAGAAGAGUAGGAGUAGGUCUGCCCGGUCAUCGCGUCAAACUCGAUCCCCGUCCACCGCGCACGCCGCUGAGGCACCCCGCGCCCGCACGGCGCGUGCAUGGGCGACCCGGCGCCGCCCGCGUGGAUGGCCGCCGCGGCCCGCAAGUGGCUCGAGGACGCCGGCGCCAUCGCGGAGGACGGCGCCGGCGACGGCCGCAGGGCUUUUAACGCGCUGCCGCUGUUCGGCGUGCGCGUGUCCCUUGCCGAGCGCGGCCGCGCCGUCUGCUCGCUCCGCGUGCCCGCCCGCCUCACGGACGCGGACGGGAACUGGCACGCGGGGGCUAUCGCGGCGGCGGUGGACGACGUGUGCGCGGCGGCGAUCAUGUCGGUGGAGGGCAUCAUCAAGGUCUCCGUCCACUACGACAUCUCCUACUUCGCGCCGGCCAAGCACCAUGAGGAAGUGGAGAUGGACGGGAGGGUGGUCGACCGGAAAGGGAGGAUGACGGCGGUGACCACGGAGGUCCGGAAGAAGGAGUCCGGCGCGCUGGUGGCGAUCGGCCGGCAGUGGAUGACCACCUCCAGACCAAAGGGAUAUCAAGGGAGCAAGCUAUGAUACAGCAACGAUGAGAACACUAUCUGUCCAAAUUCAUUGAUUAACUGACAAUGUUAAAUGCUUAUUUGAGGAGCUCUUUUACGGUACCGGGUAAUGAAUACGGGCCCUCCAUUCUGGAAGAUCCAACGGCCCAAAGAGAUAUAUACUGCUGGAAUUGGUUUAACAGUAUAAAGACUGCACUGCUCGAUCAACCAACGUAAGCGGUAUAUGUGAUUUGAGGGCAACUCGGGAAGAUUUUUAAGUUUCAGCUCGUCAGAUUGAGGCGCCCCACGCAUUCUCCCUCGGCGAGCCGAUCUCUCGUCCCUUCCUCGGCCAGCCUGUGCUCGUGGAUCAGGCGCUCGGCGGCAUGGCGCAGGUCUCGGUAGUCGGCACCCGACGUCUCCUGCCUACACCGGAUGUGAGGGCAGAAUGGCGCAGCUUCUGUUCUUCGGCAGGCCGGAUGUGAGGUACCCUCAUCCCACAGGUGACAAGCGCUGACGGAUAAUUUAGUGUUCACCUUUGUAGAGAGUUGGCCAUAUCCAAUGCAAAUUCAGGUUUUAAGCUGCACUACUUGGUUCAGGCUGUUGGCAAUUUCAGUGAUGGGUUUGUUAUUUCCUAGCAGCGGCAGCUAGCCCUUUGGAAGAAAGUUUUUGACAUCACUCGGUUUCUACGAUGCAGCCAAGUAUGGAUAACUGAACUUCUAAUCCAUAACAAGGCGGCGGACGUUCGAGGCCUGUUGGAAGGUUACGGAUUUGUGAGGCUACAAGAGGAGCAUGCAGACAGCUAGAUAUGGAUGGAGUGAACUAGCACGGCGGCAGUGAGGGGGAGUUAGAUGGCCGGGGCGUGCAAUAUGGGAGACGGCGCGUCUGGAUUGAGUCGGCGGCGUUUUCUCUCGACAGUCGACAGCCAUGACAGAUUCCAGAUACAAACUAAUAAGAGUUUGGUUUUCUUUUAAUGUGAAAAAUCAGAGGUCUAAAAUACCCUCAAGAAUUGAACGGUAAGAUUAGAUAUAUACUGCUCCUUUUUCCGUAGCAGUAUAGGUACCAUAAAAGAGCUCUUGUUUGAGGAGUGGAGAUCACCUCCAGUCCAAAGGGAUUUGAAGGAAGCUGCGUUGGGCAUUUCGUUGGUUGACUUGAGUUUCAGAAUAUGCCUACAUCGUGCAUUAUUGCUAGUCACUGUCAUGGGGUUAAUUAAGUCGAGCUGAUCUUAUAUCGUGCUCCUACGGGUACAACAAGGCUAUAGCUGUGGAGGAGCAAGGAAGCGUCCAAGGUCACAAAUCAAGCACACGCAACACACACACACACACACACACACACACACACACACAUGGACGACGGGGCGGCGGAGGCCGAAGCGCUGCGGCUCCGUCUGGCCGCCGUCGCCAGGAAGUGGCUGGAGGACCCGCGCGCGGACUACGCCGGCAAAAUCACCGACGCGGCCAGCCAAAAGGGGCACGCGCUCAACUCGCUGGUGCUGGCCGGCGCACGCAUCUCCCUCUCCGAGCACGGCCGCGUCGUGUGCUCGUUCCACGUGCCGCCGCCGCUCACCGACUCUGACGGGACGUGGCACGCGGGGGCGCUGGCGGCGGCGGCGGACAACAUGUGCUCGGCGGUGGUCUUCACGGUGGUGGGCGCGCCCACGUCCACCGUCCACUACGGCCUGUCCUACUUCUCGCCCGUCGCGUGCAACGAGGAGGUUCAGUUGGACGGGCGGGUGGUGGGCCGGAAAGGGAAGCUCACGGCCGCCGUGGUGCGGGUGCGGAAGAUGGGAUCCGGCGAGCUGGUGGCGAUAGGGAGGCAGUGGAUGACCCCUGCCUGGCCAACGAAGAGCAACAAAAGUAGGAGCAAGCUCUGACACAAGUUAAAAUGUCGUCCGAUCGAUGAUUUCAGAUUUGAGCAUCUCCGUUCAACAUAAUAAAACAAAAGAAAAUCCAUUUUACUAAUGCUCACGCGAGUGAUUGCUUCUUUGAAGUCUAGUUCAGAGAAGAAAAUGCAACUUGCACUUUUCAACGGAGUGAAAAAGCGUCAUAUACACUUCUCACUACGCAGUUGCACCUUUCGGCAGCGACUUAGACGUACUACCUCUGUUAACUUUUUAUAAGGCAUUCUUAGAGUUUAAUAUGCCAGUGAAAAUUCAAAAAAUAUGCUGAUGUCAAAAAACGUCUUAUGUUAGUAGUAUUGAGUUUGGGAGAUAGUACAGAAAAAAGCAUUUCUCAAGACUUGGAUAUACCCUUUUAUUAUGUCAAUUGUGGGAAAAUAUACUGGCGCUACCACUCCUUAGAUGCUACUGUGAUAUAGGGGCACCAAGGCUGUUAAAUCUGUGAUCCAACGAACAACAUCAUCGGACGUGAAUCAAAACAUCAUUUUAGGAAUGUUGAGAGGUUUUCUACAAAAC